GAUGAACGCUGACAGAAUGCUUAACACAUGCAAGUCAACUUGAAUUUGGGUUUUUAACUUAGGUUUGGGUGGCGGACGGGUGAGUAACGCGUAAAGAACUUGCCUCACAGCUAGGGACAACAUUUGGAAACGAAUGCUAAUACCUAAUAUUAUGAUAAUAGGGCAUCCUAUAAUUAUGAAAGCUAUAAGCGCUGUGAGAGAGCUUUGCGUCCCAUUAGCUAGUUGGAGAGGUAACGGCUCACCAAGGCGAUGAUGGGUAGCCGGCCUGAGAGGGUGAUCGGCCACAAGGGGACUGAGACACGGCCCUUACUCCUACGGGAGGCAGCAGUGGGGAAUAUUGGACAAUGGGCGAAAGCCUGAUCCAGCAAUGCCGCGUGAGUGAUGAAGGCCUUAGGGUUGUAAAGCUCUUUUACCCGGGAUGAUAAUGACAGUACCGGGAGAAUAAGCUCCGGCUAACUCCGUG
rnacentral:rRNA from 1 species